UACAGAGGGGGGCAAGCGUUGUUCGGAAUUACUGGGCGUAAAGGGCGCGUAGGCGCCUUCUAAGUCGAACGUGAAAUCCCCGGGCUCAACCCGGGAACUGCGUCCGAUACUGGAAGGCUUGAAUCCGGGAGAGGGAUGCGGAAUUCCAGGUGUAGCGGUGAAAUGCGUAGAUAUCUGGAGGAAUACCGGUGGCGAAGGCGGCAUCCUGGACCGGCACUGACGCU
rnacentral:rRNA from 1 species